rnacentral:tRNA from 1 species
GCCGAGAUAGCUCAGUUGGUAGAGCACAGGUCUGAAAAACCUGGUGUCCCGAGUUCGAUUCUCGGUCUCGGCA